rnacentral:rRNA from 1 species
UAGAUCACACCACCCCCCACGAGGCGGCCCCUAUACGGGCCCGCCUCGUGGGGGGGUGGUGCUCCUGACGAAGGAUGAGCAUAUCCAUGGCAGUGACCUUCGCCUACGAUAGCUGGAGGGGGUCGGUGGGACCCCCCGGUCAUGUGGCUGCAUCGGGGCUCGUGUGCUACCGGAGCAACUAAAGGAUCGUUGGGUAUCGCGCGCAUGAGACGUCCUGCAUCUGGGUAAGACUACCCGCUGAACUUAAGCAUAUCAUUAAGCGGAGGAAAAGAAACUAAACAGGAUUCCCUUAGUAACGGCGAGCGAACCGGGAGUAGCCCAACCGUGCAUCAGACAUCCUCGAUACUAGAGGCCUUCGAGGAUGCUGGGCUGUAGGGUAGGCGUGACUCUGCCAUUAUUACGAGACCAUCCGCACUAGGCGUGAAGUUAGUGGUUGGAAGUCCCCGCCAGAGAGGGUGAUAGCCCCGUAACCCUAGGUGUCGUUGCGAGAGGGUGGGGGGUGCGAGUCACGGCGUGAUUGGAGUCGCUCCCCGCCCUUCUUCUCAUCUGGCGCAGAGUCGCGGUGGAGUAGGGUUGCUUGAGAGUGCAGCCUGAAGGAGGUGGUAGAUCCCAUCUAAGGCUAAAUAUUUACAAGAGACCGAUAGCGAACAAGUACCGCGAGGGAAAGAUGAAACAGUACCCCGGGGAGGGGAUUGAAAAGUGCCUGAAAUCACCAGGGUGGAAGCAUUAGGGGGUGUAGGAAGAAGGGGGGUGAUGCCAAUUAGAGCUCAUCAAGGCCCCUUCCUGGCGGCGAGUCCGGUGACCAUGAGGGUCGGGCACCCAACCCUUUUCGAUUCGAGGAGGGGGGUGCAUCGUCGAGCCCUAGAUUUGCAUCCGUGCUCGACUAACUCGAGAUAAGGAUCAUAGAGGCUUAUAUAAGGGCUCUGAUCAAUCCAUCGCACAGGUUUACGCCCCUUAAUGACCCGUCUUGAAACACGGACCAAGGAGUCUAACACCUGAGCGAGUCAAUGUGCGGUCUAGCCACAUAGGCGGAAGAAACCUGAGAGGUUCCUCGAGGAUGGGUUAGCCAUGACCGUAGCGUUCAUCGGAGGGGGUUACCUCGCAAGGAAUCCCUACCCGGUGAAUCGGUUACAGUGUCGCUCCGGCACCCGGGGAACAACCGAUCAUGGAGAGACAGGCUUGCCUGGAAUGAUUCGGUCUAAGCUCAGUUGUUAGGACCCGAAAGGUGGUGAUCUAUGCCUGAGCAGGGUGAAGCCGGGGGAAACUCCGGUGGAGGCCCGUAGGAUUGCUGACGUGCAAAUCGCUUCUCUGACUUGGGUAUAGUGGCGAAAGACCAAUCGAACCACCUAGUAGCUGGUUCCCUCCGAAGUUUCUCACAGGAUAGCUAGGGCUUAAUCAGUUGCGUCGAGUAAAGAUACUGGUUGAGGUGGGGGGGGAUGCGAAGGUCCUCCCCCCUUCUCACAAACUCAGAAUCGAUGCUACCCCUCCCCCUUGCUUGAUUGAAGGGGGGGUCGGAAUGAGAGCCCUAAGUGGGCCGGUUUUGGUAAGCAGAAUUGGCGAUGCGGGAUGAACCGAGUGUCGAGUUAAAGUGUCGAACUGUAUGCUAACCUAGAUCCCAGAAAGGGUGUCAUCUGAUAUAGACAGCAGGGCGGUGGCCAUAGAAGUGGGAAUCCGCUAAGGAGUGUGUUAUAACUCACCUGCCGAACCAGGUGGCCCCGAAAAUGGAUGACGCUCAAGCAUAUGACUUACACUCGACCGUGCGCACGAGCGGCGUGUGCAUGGGUAGGAGGGCGUAGAGGCAGCGCCGAAGCCUUGGGCGUGAGCCUGGGUGGAGUGGUCUCUAGUGCAGAUCUUGGUGGAAGUAGCAAGUAUUCAAACGAGAACUUUGAAGACUGACGUGGAGAAGGGUUCCGUGUAAACAGCGUUUGGUCACGGGUAAGUCGAUCCUAAGAUCUAGGGUAGAUCCUAUCCAAAGAGAAUCGAAAGGGAAGAGGGUUAAUAUUCCCUCACCUCGGCGGGGUCCGACAGCGGUGACGCGAACGAGCUCACAGACACUCACGCCAAUCCCGGGGAGGGCUCUCGACUCUCCUUAAGUCUCCAGGAACCUUGGAGUAGGGUAAACCUGAGAAAAGGUCAUCGGAGAUGUACAACCCCAUUCAGGAUGAUGGGGUCCGGCGCAUUGGUAUGAGUCCAUGAAAAUGUGAGGGAGUGAUAGGGACUACCCCCGUAGGUCGUACCCAUAACCGCAUCAGGUCUCCAAGGUGAGUAGCCUCUAGUCGAUAGAAAAAAGUGGGUAAGGGAAUUCGGCAAAAUAGAUCUGUAACUUCGGGAUGAGGAUUGGCUCUAAUGGUCAUCCCUAUCGGUGCUGCUGCGGAGGUGCGCAGCUAAGUCUCAGGAAUCAAGUGCCUUUCCAGAGAAUCAUUAUGGUGGUUAGGGAUUACCCACACGACGCGUUGGGUCUCGGGUAGCGGCUGGCAAGGCAGACACGGCCCUGCUGGCGCCCCUCCCCUCGUGGGGUGGGAGUUAUAGUGUGCUAGAGGCUGAGCAACUCUCACCCUCCGGGGCCUGGGCUAUGCUCGUGCUUAUCCGUCUUAAUCCGGGAUCACCUCUGGGGUUCGAUAAGGGGCAUGAGAGGAACGUAACUGGCAUCGGUAGGUGGCGGGCUGAAUUAGAACUGGUGCGGACAAAGGGAAUCCGACUGUCUAAUAAAAACACAGCAUCGUGAUGGUCCUUGCGGAUGUUGACACGAUGUGAAUCCUGCCCAGUGCUCUGAUUGUCAACUUGAAGAGAUUCAAUAAAGCACGGGUAAACGGCGGGAGUAACUAUGACUCUCUUAAGGUAGCGAAAUGCCUUGUCGUCUAAUUAGCGACGUGCAUGAAUGGAUCAACGAGACUCCUACUGUCCCUACCCACUAUCUAGCGAAACCACAGCCAAGGGAACGGGCUUGGAAGAAACAGCGGGGCAAGAAGACCCUGUUGAGCUUGACUCUAUUCUGAAGCUGUUGAGCGACUUUAGAGGUGUAGCAUAGGUGGGAGCUUCGGCGAUACUGAAAUACCACUACUCUCGAGCUCGUUCUGCUAAUCUCGCUAACCCGAUCCAAGACGCCCCGAUCAAUCCCAGGAUGCUUGGGGGCGCGCUACGCGCGUGUAUUAAUGGCUUGUGGUUUGCUUGGCAAUACCUCUAUCGGAAACGAGAGACACCUUCAGAUGGGGAGUUCGGCUGGGGCGGUACACCCGCUAAAAGAUAACGCGGAUGUCCUAUGAUCAGCUCAUCGAGGACGGAAACCUCGUGUAGCGCGCAAGGGUAGAAGCUGAUUUGAUUUCGAUUCUCAGUAGGAAUCUGAACUGCGAAAGCAUGGCCUAGCGAUCCUUUAGCCUUUCUGGAUCUGAAGCUAGAGGUGUCAGAAAAGUUACCACAGGGAUAACUGGUUUGUGGCAGCCAAGCGUUCAGCGACGUUGCUUUUUGAUUCUUCGAUGUCGGCUCUUCCUAUCAUUGUGAAGCAUACGUCACAAAGUGUUGGUUUGUUCACCCACUAACAGGGAACGUGAGCUGGGUUUAGACCGUCGUGAGACAGGUUAGUUUUACCCUACUGUUGUGAGGCUGCGUGAUAGUAAUCGAGUCAAGUACGAGAGGAACGAUUCGAUCGGAUACAUGGUCCUGCACUCGAUGGAGCCGUCGAUGGUGCGAAGCUACAUCCGUAGGUUAAUGACUGAAAGCUUCUAAAGUCAGAAACCUUACUAGAAACCUAGCCAGGCGUGUGCACGUAGGCCUUAACUAUAACCCUCGGUGU